CACGUAGGGCGCAAGCGUUGUCCGGAAUUAUUGGGCGUAAAGAGCUCGUAGGCGGUCUGUUACGUCCGCUGUGAAAACCCGGGGCUUAACCCCUGGCUUGCAGUGGAUACGGACAGACUAGAGGUAGGUAGGGGAGAAUGGAAUUCCCGGUGUAGCGGUGAAAUGCGCAGAUAUCGGGAGGAACACCGGUGGCGAAGGCGGUUCUCUGGGCCUUACCUGACGCUGAGGAGCGAAAGCGUGGGGAGCAAACAGG
rnacentral:rRNA from 1 species